UGACUUUGGUCAAAGUCAAACUGCUUCAAGUUUGACCAAGUUUAUAGAAAAGAAUAGUAAUAUUUUUGACCUAACGUAAAUUUAUUAUAAAAAUAUAUUUAAUUAUUAAUUUAAUAAAACUAAUUUGGUAAUAUAAAUAUUACUAUAUUUAUCUAUAAAGUUAGUCAAACUUGAAGCAGUUUGACUUUGACCAAAGUCAA
rnacentral:pre_miRNA from 1 species